rnacentral:rRNA from 1 species
CACGUAGGGCGCAAGCGUUGUCCGGAAUUAUUGGGCGUAAAGAGCUCGUAGGCGGUCUGUUACGUCUGCUGUGAAAACCCGGGGCUUAACCCUGGGCUUGCAGUGGAUACGGGCAGACUAGAGGCAGGUAGGGGAGAACGGAAUUCCCGGUGUAGCGGUGAAAUGCGCAGAUAUCGGGAGGGACACCGGUGGCGAAGGCGGUUCUCUGGGCCUGUACUGACGCUGAGGAGCGAAAGCGUGGGGAGCGAACAGG